rnacentral:misc_RNA from 1 species
GAUGAAGAAGCAGCGAAAUGCGAUAAGUAAUGUGAAUUGCAGAAUUCCGUGAAUCAUCGAAUCUUUGAACGCACAUUGCGCCCUCUGGUAUUCCGGGGGGCAUGCCUGUCCGAGCGUCAUUUGCAACCCUCAAGCCCGGCUUGUGUGAUGGGUGCCGUCCCCUACGGGACGCGCCCCGAAGGCAAUGGCGGCGUCGCGGUUAUCCGAUCAGCCAAAGUGUAUGGGGCUUUGUCACUCACUUUACGGCCCGGACCGGCGCCAGUCCGAAUCAAUCUUUUUUCUAAAGUUGACCUUGGAUCAGGUAGGGAUACCCGCUGAACUUAAGCAUAUCAAUAAGCGGAGGA